rnacentral:rRNA from 1 species
UACUGAAGGUGCAAGCGUUAAUCGGAAUUACUGGGCGUAAAGCGCGCGUAGGCGGUUUGUUAAGUUGGAUGUGAAAGCCCAGGGCUCAACCUUGGAACUGCAUCCGAUACUGGCAGGCUAGAAUAUAGGAGAGGGAGGUAGAAUUUCAGGUGUAGCGGUGAAAUGCGUAGGAGUAUAGUGAAG